CCAAUUAUAAUUCUACUAUUAUUCCUUACCCAAUAGGCAAUACCCAAUUACCCUCUCAAAAGAUAGAAACUAUCAAGAAUUCACAAACCAAUUAGACAAAAAAUCAAGGAAAACCCCCAAUUAUAAACCCUAAAAGUAUUAAUUUUACUAGUUGAUAGAUGGCUUUGGGGUUGGGGUCUUGCUGACUGCCAUCUUGGGGAAGAGCCGAAGAGCCGAAGAAGCGGGAGAUGCGUGAGAUGAAUGGAACCUUAAGACUCUUACCAGUUACAAGUGAACAAGUUACAAGCGACUAGCGAG
rnacentral:lncRNA from 1 species